rnacentral:misc_RNA from 1 species
GAUGAAGAACGUAGCGAAAUGCGAUAAGUAAUGUGAAUUGCAGAAUUCAGUGAAUCAUCGAAUCUUUGAACGCACCUUGCGCCUUUUGGUAUUCCGAAAGGCACACCUGUUUGAGCGUCAUGAAUACCUCAAUCUCUAUCUUUUCUUCGGAUUGAUGGGUGACUUGGAUGUUGAGCCCUGCUGGUAUGCUAUAUCAGCUGGCUUUAAACUUAUUAGCCGGCUCUGUACUGGAUCGGUUUGACUCGACGUGAUAAUAUUAUCGUUGAGGAUGCAUGUCUCAUGCAGCCGGAAAGUAUCAAAGCAGCUUCUAGCUUGCCUUUAGUGCACUUUUACAUUUUAGACCUCAGAUCAGGUGGGACUACCCGCUGAACUUAAGCAUAUCAAUAAGCGGAGGA